rnacentral:sRNA from 1 species
AGAUUCUUGACAUUGUUAGCCCACAACAAUGAACACCAACUUUCUGGUGGAGCUAUUCAGCAGAAGAGUGCACGCAUCGGGGCAAAUGACAACAUGUAGAGCAACUUACCUCAGAUGCUGUUUUCCUACCAUGAUGAGAUUGCCUAUACCCGUGACAUUUCCUUCUACUACUUUGAGAAAGUUUUGUCGUCCAAUAUGGUGCUAGUAUUUUACCAUGGCAUCUCUGGCUCAAUCAACAACUGUUCAAUUUGUCUACAUCCGUGACAUCUUCUUUGGCUAAUGGCUACUGUGAGAGUUUUGUUGUCC